rnacentral:rRNA from 1 species
AUGGACGAGGGGAACACCAACAUCACCAAGAUGCUGGAGUCGCUGCUCGCCAAGAUCGACGAUCAGAAGGCGACUCACGAGAAGCAGAUCGAGCUCCAGGCCGCCUUCAACGCGCAGAUCUCGCAAGAGAUGCGCGGCCUAGCGCGGCAGCUCGAUCUGACGCAGGCGGACCUCGACCUCACGCGCAAGACGGCGGAAGGAUCCUCUCCAUCAGACUCGGUCACCACGCACAUCCACCAGCCCGCGCAACCGCAGCAACCCCCACCGCCUCCGGAUCCGUACCGGCCGUCGUCGUCGCACGCGCGCCUGGGCGAUCACCGCCCUCCCCUCCUUCCGGUGCCGCCACAGGGAGGGUUCGUCGCCGCUCCGACCGCGUCUCCGCCGGGCUACCACUCCAACGAGUACCACAAGCCCCCGAAACAUGGUUUCCCCAAGUUCGACGGAACGGCGCCGUACUUAUGGCUGGACCGCUGCCUCGCCUACUUCGAGCUCUACAAGUUGGCUGCACACCAGUGGGUCGCCACCGCCACGCUCUACAUCGACGGCCAGGCAGCACACUGGCUCCAAGCGUUCCGCCAAUCGCAUCGCAACAUCACGUGGGACGUGUUUACAUCGGCGAUCCUGGAGGAGUUUGGCGCCGACGAGUUCGAGAUGGUGAUGCACAAGCUCCUGCAACUCCGGCAGACAGGCACCGUCGCCGAGUACCGUGCUGCCUUCGACGAGCAGAUGUACCACUUGCUCGCACUCGAUCCGUCCAUCAACACCAAGUUCUUCGUCACGCAAUUCCUCCUCGGCCUGAAGGACGAACUGCGUGCCCCGGUGCGGCUCCAGGCGCCGUCAAGCAUCACGCGCGCCUCGGUGCUCGCGCGCAUACAGGAGGAAGAACUGGGCACGUACCGUGCACGCCCCCGCAUCACACCCGCUGGCCGACCACCACCGACAGCUGCCGCGGCCGCGCCACAGCGCGCCGUGGCCGCGCCGGCGCGUGCCCAAGGGGACGAGUACGCGCGGGAGAGGCAGCUGCGCGACUUCCGCCGAGCGAACAACCUCUGUUUCAAGUGUGGGGAUCGGUACUCCAGAGAGCAUCGCUGCGCCCAGCCCGCGCAGUUGCUCACCAUCAACGUGGGCGACCACGGCGAGGUGCUAUCCGACGACACCAUCCACGCCUUGCAACUGCUCGACGAUCCGGGGCCAGCGGCGCAAUCUCCUGCUCCGGCCGCGGACGCGCCAGAGUGCUGCCUCCUCUCAUCCCAGGCGCUCGACGGCACAGACUCCACAACGACGAUCCGGUUGCGCGCCCUCGUCGGGAACCAGGUCAUGCUCCUGUUGCUCGACUCGGGCAGCACCCACAGUUUCGUCAACAAGGCCUUCGUCGAUCGCCUCGGCCUCGCCACGGAAGAAAUGCCGCCAACGGAGGUGCGGGUGGCCAACGGCGACAAGCUCACGUGCACGCGCAGGGUGCCCGGCCUCAAGUGGUGGAUGCAGGGUCACACCUUCAACACGCCCAUGCGCGAACUGGAGAUCGGCGCGUACGAUGGCAUUCUGGGCAUGGACUGGCUCGCCCAGAACAGUCCGAUGACAUGCCACUGGCAGGACAAGUGGGUGAAAUUCCAGCACGACGGCGCAGAAGUUACCCUGCGCGGCGUGUCCACCAAGCCGGCCACCUCCAUCAAGGCCGUAGGACCCGAAGAGCUGCGCAAGAUGGUGGCCGGAAACGACGUUUAG